rnacentral:rRNA from 1 species
GACGAACGCUGGCGGCGUGCUUAACACAUGCAAGUCGAACGAAGAGCGAUGGAAGCUUGCUUCUAUCAAUCUUAGUGGCGAACGGGUGAGUAACGCGUAAUCAACCUGCCCUUCAGAGGGGGACAACAGUUGGAAACGACUGCUAAUACCGCAUACGAUCUAACCUCGGCAUCGAGGAGAGAUGAAAGGUGGCCUCUAUGUAUAAGCUAUCACUGAAGGAGGUGAUUGCGUCUGAUGAGCUCGUUGGAGGGGUAAGGGCCCACCAAGGCGAUGAUCAGUAGCAGGUCUGAGAGGAUGAGCGGCCACAUUGGGACUGAGACACGGCCCAGACUCCUACGGGAGGCAGCAGUGGGGAAUCUUCCGCAAUGGACGAAAGUCUGACGGAGCAACGCCGAGUGCGUGAUGACGGCCGUCGGGUUGGAAAGCUCUGUUAAUCGGGACGAAAGGCCUUCUUGCGAAUAGUGAGAAGGAUUGACGGUACCGGAAAAGAAAGCAACGGCUAACUACGUG